rnacentral:sRNA from 1 species
UUUAAAUGUUAGAGCUGUUCCCGGAGACUUAUUGCAGAAAUAGAUGAGAAGCAAAUCAAGACUACUAUUCAAAAAUCAAAUACCAAACAGCUGUCAUAUGAUGAGGUUGUCAAUCAGUCUAGUCCAAGCAACUGUACUGUAUACUGUGGAGGUGUUACUUCUGGGCUAACAGAACAACUAAUGCGUCAGACUUUUUCACCAUUUGGACAAAUAAUGGAAAUUCGAGUCUUUCCAGAUAAAGGAUAUUCAUUUGUUCGGUAGGGAUGGUUUUUUAAAAAAACUUUUUUCUUGGUAAUGUAACUGGAAAACCAGAAAAUAAAAAUAAAAAACGUUUUCCUCCAA